AAGUCGUAAUGAACCUGCGGAAGGAUCAAUAACACGUAUCCAAACGUUGAACCCCCCCCCGUGAACCUUCAUCGUGCUCUAGUGGGCCACUGAUAAACACAGCAAUUCCUGGUAAAUCAUUGUCUGAUUCCUUCCGAUUUCACAUACAAAGCUCCAUUUUCAAUUAUGGAUGGGGUAAAACCGAACAACUGUUAACAAUGGAUAUCUUGGUUCUC
rnacentral:misc_RNA from 1 species